rnacentral:misc_RNA from 1 species
CGGGAGUGUCUUCUGCGACCUUCACCCAUGAAAGCGUUGGGGCACGGCCCCAUCACGCGCCUGGCGAACACGGCCGCCCCCGGUGGAUCGGCAGCUCCAGGUGCAAUCUACAACCGCGACGACUGGAACGCAGGCCGCGACAUGAGUGCCGAGGAGCGACGAUGCGGGAUUCUCACACGCCUCUGCACCCUUGCCGCUACGGCUCCGCGCGAAGGAGCAUCGCCGGCGUGCGGGCUGGCUCCGUUGGAAGCCGUGAUCCGGGCCCAGUCCACGGAUGCACACGUUGCAGAGGUCGACGCGAACGGCGGCGGCGCCUUUCUUGAGAACGCACCGAAAGGGCGUUGGCGCAAGAUAUCUCGUUCAAAGACGCUACUGGUGGAGGAGACGGCAACACCAUUUAGCAACCCAGAAAAGAGUUUCUCGCCGCGCGUGCAGAGCUACGGCGAGUACGUGCGGCGGAUCGGGAAACUUCCGGAAGGGCGGCCGCUUCUUCGUUUCGCGAUGUUUCGUGACGGGUACUCGCUGGACUCGGUGCGCCACCGUCUCCGCUACGAAAUUGGGGUCCCGCACGACGGAGUCUACCUUCACGAGCCACCAGGCGGCUCUUUCGCAGCCGUAACCCAAUUUGGCGUUGCCAUCGGAGUGACGCGCGAGCAGCUGCCUCACGCGUCGCGGCACUACAAUGUUCAUGCGCUUAUCUUUGACGACCGCAGCUACCACGCUCUCGACGAGUUGCCCCGCCUCUCUGCCGCCCCACAGGCGUACGUGCACCGCAUUCUUCUGCGCUGUGUCUCCGGAGACGAAGCAGCUGUCGCGCAGCGCCUACGACACCUCAGCUCGAACGGUUUUGUCAACUACUUUGGUUUGGAGAGCUUCGGGAUCGGGAGUAACACCCUCUUCGACAUGGCUGCCUUUGCCUCCCGCAGGGAACCCCAUCGGUCGGUCGGCGCGUAUCUUCAAACCCUCGCCGAGUGUAGCCCCCUGCACCAUCAGCCCUACCUGUCCUACGCAAAUGCGGAGGAGAGUACCGUUGCAGGGGCGGUGACGGAGUGGCUGCGCGUGUGCGAGCGUGCCAAGCUGCCGAAGGAGACACGCGAGGUGCUGCGAAAGCUCCACUGCUACCACCUUUCGCAACGUCACCCCAACGACGCGACGACCACAUCCAUGGAGGAUGUAUGGGAGGCGUGCCCCAUCAUGCAUCGCACCGAGCAAAGCGCCGCCUCCUUUGUAUGGAACGCCAUGGCGUCGCAGCGGCUCCUGUCGUUUGGCAGUCGGCCAGUGAAGGGAGAUUUGGUGAGCCGCAUCGGCGACCGCGGUGCGAUGGAGAUUGCCGAGGUCGCCAGCGACGUGGACGCCUCACAGUACACCAUCGAUGACGUUGUUCUACCCAUUCCAUGUGGCCACACCCGUGCUGCGGAGCUGCGGUACCCGACGCACAGCGUUGAUGAGGCGUUCUUCAAACAAUUCGCAAGGAAGCACAGCCUCUCCUUUCUCUUUGACUCCGGCGUAGACUCGACCCCGAGGGCUCCACCUACUCAGGGGUCCUACCGCCGUCUGGUGAGUCGACCACGCAACCUGCAGGCGGCGGUUUUGCGAGAUCCUUCCUCUUGCGCAGCCCUCAAGAGCGAUCUGUUUCUGUUGCAGGAGCAUCAGCCGACUGAGGGUUGGUCGCUCGACUACGGGCGGCGCGUGCGUGAGCCGUCGAACUUCAAUGUCUCGGAACGUUUUCGCGAGCGGAUGAGCUGCAUUCGGAAGCGGCGGACAGGUGAACACUCCGUAGCACUCGCUUUCGUUCUUCCCGCGGGAUCGUCGCCGUGGGUAGCGCUGCGCGAGGCGUUUCACAUGCACUACGGCACAUUUCACGAUUUGUACGGGGUGAGCUAAGCUUUGUUGCUGAGGCCAAGCGUCAGCACUCUGAGGCGCAGCGCUGUCUCUCACGCAAGAACUGGGGCUCCUCUCUGGGCACCGGGCACGUUACAACACUACUAACGCACCGUUACAUGUGCUCCAGCUCCCUGCCACACUAUGCUUCUCCUUUCCUUUGGAGUCGCAUGGCACCGUGGCGGUAGCAAACCAGCGCUAACCGACAGCGUCACAAAAAAAAACAACGAGAGGGAGAAAUUCGUGCUGACUGUUUUCUUCCCGUCCAUGGUCUUUUCCUUGACGUGCUUGCAUGGAUAGACACUGCAACUGCUGCAACUGGGCCUCCUCACUGCCUG